UACGGGGGGGGCAAGCGUUGUUCGGAAUUACUGGGCGUAAAGGGUUCGUAGGUGGCCAACUAAGUCAGACGUGAAAUCCCUCAGCUUAACUGGGGAACUGCGUCUGAUACUGGUUGGCUUGAAUGCAGGAGAGGAACGCGGAAUUCCAGGUGUAGCGGUGAAAUGCGUAGAUAUCGCUUGGAACGCCAAAGGUGAAAACAGGUUGCUGGGGUUGUGCCGACGCUGAGACACGAAAGCCAGGGGAGCAAACGGG
rnacentral:rRNA from 1 species